rnacentral:rRNA from 1 species
GAAAGCGUGGGGAGCAAACAGGAUUAGAUACCCUGUAGUCCACGCCGUAACGAUGUCGACUUGGAGGUUGUGCCCUUGAGGCGUGGCUUCCGGAGCUAACGCGUUAAGUCGACCGCCUGGGGAGUACGGCCGCAAGGUUAAACUCAAAUGAAUUGACGGGGGCCCGCACAAGCGGUGGAGCAUGUGGUUUAAUUCGAUGCAACGCGAAGAACCUUACCUACUCUUGACAUCCAGAGAACUUAGCAGAGAUGCUUUGGUGCCUUCGGGAACUCUGAGACAGGUGCUGCAUGGCUGUCGUCAGCUCGUGUUGUGAAAUGUUGGGUUAAGUCCCGCAACGAGCGCAACCCUUAUCCUUUGUUGCCAGCGGUUCGGCCGGGAACUCAAAGGAGACUGCCAGUGAUAAACUGGAGGAAGGUGGGGAUGACGUCAAGUCAUCAUGGCCCUUACGAGUAGGGCUACACACGUGCUACAAUGGCGCAUACAAAGAGAAGCGACCUCGCGAGAGCAAGCGGACCUCAUAAAGUGCGUCGUAGUCCGGAUUGGAGUCUGCAACUCGACUCCAUGAAGUCGGAAUCGCUAGUAAUCGUAGAUCAGAAUGCUACGGUGAAUACGUUCCCGGGCCUUGUACACACCGCCCGUCACACCAUGGGAGUGGGUUGCAAAAGAAGUAGGUAGCUUAACCUUCGGGAGGGCGCUUACCACUUUGUGAUUCAUGACUGGCGUG